rnacentral:rRNA from 1 species
UUUGGUUAAGUUAGAAAGGGCGCACGGUGGAUGCCUUGACACUAGGAGUCGAUGAAGGACGGGACUAACGCCGAUAUGCUUCGGGGAGCUGUAAGUAAGCUUUGAUCCGAAGAUUUCCGAAUGGGGAAACCCACCAUACGUAAUGGUAUGGUAUCCUUAUCUGAAUACAUAGGGUAAGGAAGACAGACCCAGGGAACUGAAACAUCUAAGUACCUGGAGGAAGAGAAAGCAAAUGCGAUUUCCUGAGUAGCGGCGAGCGAAACGGAACAUAGCCCAAACCAAGAGGCUUGCCUCUUGGGGUUGUAGGACAUUCUAUACGGAGUUACAAAGGAACGAGGUAGACGAAGCGACCUGGAAAGGUCCGUCGUAGAGGGUAACAACCCCGUAGUCGAAACUUCGUUCUCUCUUGAAUGUAUCCUGAGUACGGCGGAACACGUGAAAUUCCGUCGGAAUCUGGGAGGACCAUCUCCCAAGGCUAAAUACUCCCUAGUGAUCGAUAGUGAACCAGUACCGUGAGGGAAAGGUGAAAAGCACCCCGGAAGGGGAGUGAAAGAGAUCCUGAAACCGUGUGCCUACAAAUAGUCAGAGCCCGUUAACGGGUGAUGGCGUGCCUUUUGUAGAAUGAACCGGCGAGUUACGAUCCCGUGCGAGGUUAAGCUGAAGAGGCGGAGCCGCAGCGAAAGCGAGUCUGAAUAGGGCGUUUAGUACGUGGUCGUAGACCCGAAACCAGGUGAUCUACCCAUGUCCAGGGUGAAGUUCAGGUAACACUGAAUGGAGGCCCGAACCCACGCACGUUGAAAAGUGCGGGGAUGAGGUGUGGGUAGCGGAGAAAUUCCAAUCGAACCUGGAGAUAGCUGGUUCUCCCCGAAAUAGCUUUAGGGCUAGCCUUAAGUGUAAGAGUCUUGGAGGUAGAGCACUGAUUGGACUAGGGGUCCUCAUCGGAUUACCGAAUUCAGUCAAACUCCGAAUGCCAAUGACUUAUCCUUAGGAGUCAGACUGCGAGUGAUAAGAUCCGUAGUCAAAAGGGAAACAGCCCAGACCGCCAGCUAAGGUCCCAAAGUGUGUAUUAAGUGGAAAAGGAUGUGGAGUUGCUUAGACAACUAGGAUGUUGGCUUAGAAGCAGCCACCAUUUAAAGAGUGCGUAAUAGCUCACUAGUCGAGUGACUCUGCGCCGAAAAUGUACCGGGGCUAAAUACACCACCGAAGCUGCGGAUUGAUACCAAUGGUAUCAGUGGUAGGGGAGCGUUCUAAGGACAGUGAAGUCAGACCGGAAGGACUGGUGGAGUGCUUAGAAGUGAGAAUGCCGGUAUGAGUAGCGAAAGACGGGUGAGAAUCCCGUCCACCGAAUGCCUAAGGUUUCCUGAGGAAGGCUCGUCCGCUCAGGGUUAGUCAGGACCUAAGCCGAGGCCGACAGGCGUAGGCGAUGGACAACAGGUUGAUAUUCCUGUACCACCUCUUUAUCGUUUGAGCAAUGGAGGGACGCAGAAGGAUAGAAGAAGCGUGCGAUUGGUUGUGCACGUCCAAGCAGUUAGGCUGAUAAGUAGGCAAAUCCGCUUAUCGUAAAGGCUGAGCUGUGAUGGGGAAGCUCCUUAUGGAGCGAAGUCUUUGAUUCCCCGCUGCCAAGAAAAGCUUCUAGCGAGAUAAAAGGUGCCUGUACCGCAAACCGACACAGGUAGGCGAGGAGAGAAUCCUAAGGUGUGCGAGAGAACUCUGGUUAAGGAACUCGGCAAAAUGACCCCGUAACUUCGGGAGAAGGGGUGCUUUCUUAACGGAAAGCCGCAGUGAAUAGGCCCAAGCGACUGUUUAGCAAAAACACAGCUCUCUGCGAAGCCGUAAGGCGAAGUAUAGGGGGUGACACCUGCCCGGUGCUGGAAGGUUAAGGAGAGGGGUUAGCGUAAGCGAAGCUCUGAACUGAAGCCCCAGUAAACGGCGGCCGUAACUAUAACGGUCCUAAGGUAGCGAAAUUCCUUGUCGGGUAAGUUCCGACCCGCACGAAAGGUGUAACGAUUUGGGCACUGUCUCAACCAGAGACUCGGUGAAAUUAUAGUACCUGUGAAGAUGCAGGUUACCCGCGACAGGACGGAAAGACCCCGUGGAGCUUUACUGUAGCCUGAUAUUGAAUUUUGGUACAGUUUGUACAGGAUAGGCGGGAGCCAUUGAAACCGGAGCGCUAGCUUCGGUGGAGGCGCUGGUGGGAUACCGCCCUGACUGUAUUGAAAUUCUAACCUACGGGUCUUAUCGACCCGGGAGACAGUGUCAGGUGGGCAGUUUGACUGGGGCGGUCGCCUCCUAAAGUGUAACGGAGGCGCCCAAAGGUUCCCUCAGAAUGGUUGGAAAUCAUUCGUAGAGUGCAAAGGCAUAAGGGAGCUUGACUGCGAGACCUACAAGUCGAGCAGGGACGAAAGUCGGGCUUAGUGAUCCGGUGGUUCCGCAUGGAAGGGCCAUCGCUCAACGGAUAAAAGCUACCCCGGGGAUAACAGGCUUAUCUCCCCCAAGAGUCCACAUCGACGGGGAGGUUUGGCACCUCGAUGUCGGCUCAUCGCAUCCUGGGGCUGUAGUCGGUCCCAAGGGUUGGGCUGUUCGCCCAUUAAAGCGGUACGCGAGCUGGGUUCAGAACGUCGUGAGACAGUUCGGUCCCUAUCCGUCGUGGGCGUAGGAAAUUUGAGAGGAGCUGUCCUUAGUACGAGAGGAC